rnacentral:rRNA from 1 species
AAAAGAACUUAGAGGUGAGAGUUCAACAGGGCGUGAAACCGAUUAGAAGUAAACGGUUGGUGCUGACAUUGUUUCUGCCGGAUUCAGCCGGUCUGAUGGUUGGACGGCUGCAUGCUGAUCGCAAGACAGUGUGUGGUGCGGUAUCCGAUCUAGGACUGGUGCAUUUUCGGUAGGAUGCAUCAUGACCGCUGACGACGCUGGCAUAUGGCCGGUUGGUUGCCGUCUGCAGACUUUCAAGUUUGCAGUGCCCCACCUUCCGUGUCCUGUCCGGGUUGGCGUCAGCGGGUAACUGGACGUGCCCGAUUCGUCUCAUCUUUUGCUUUCCGUUGGCUGACCGAUCCGUCUGGUCGUGCUUGCACGGCCGGGCAAACCUCAGCCUUCGUAGGGUAUCUGUGUGAGAAGGCACUGAAGGUCAAUGGUGUCCGCGUCAGUCUCCCAACCGACCCGUCUUGAAACACGGACCAAGGAGUCUAACAUGUGCGCAAGUCAUGGGGUUGAAAACCCAAAGGCGUAAUGAAAGUAAAGGCCGCAAGGCUGAGGUGUGAUGGUUGGUUUAACCUACUCGCAACACCGCCCCAUCGCAUCGGCUUGUCCGGGCGGUGGAGGAAGAGCGUACACGUUGGGACCCGAAAGAUGGUGAACUAUGCCUGAGCAGGAUGAAGCCAGAGGAAACUCUGGUGGAGGUCCGUAGCGGU